UGUUGCUUUCCCUUUCGUCAUUACAGUUACAAUUUUGAUUCUACAUGGGGGAUUUGGUCAUGCACCUGAAACAUGACGCCAUUUGAUUUUUACUGUGAGCGGGGUGAAUUCACCGGGACUGACACGCCUUCUUCUCCUGUGUGUAACAACGCAGGGGGCUGGCCUGCGAGAUCUCGGCAACACAUGCCGCCUCAACUCGGUUCUGCAAUGCCUGACCUACGCCGAGCCGGUCUUGGCCUACCUGCCAGAGCGAGAAACACAAGGCCUCAUAUACAGUCAGGUUGCUACUGUUGCUUUGUUUGGACUUCUAGUGGGAUUUGGCAUGAUAACCAGUUCAAAUGAAUUACCAAAGAAGUACUAGGAUAUUAUGUCUUGUGACAGUCUGACCAAGCUACUACAGAGAGCAAAUGAUUACUAUUACGACUUCUGAAUAAUGGGUUCUCUAAGUUUGUGAGGCAGAUGCGUUGCUUGACGUCAAUGAAGCUAAAGAGCCAGCAUGCUCUAAAGAAGAUUUGACUUGCAGUUAAGGAAGCUGAAGAGUCAUCAUGCCCAAGAAACGUCAGCUUGUAACAGCAGCAGAACUAAUUGGGGAUUAAGACGGCUUGUAAAUUGAACUAGACUGAUCCAAGAAUCAGUAACUGUCGGAUCAGACGCCAAACCAGAAAGCGACUGCAAGAUCUGUUUCCUGUAAAGAAUCGUCUUAUUUUCCUAUGCCUAUUUUUUCCAAGAAUCCUCUAUCAGCGUACUGACCUAUCUGUUGUAGCAAGAAUUAACUAGUUUUCUCCAAGAAUCUUUUCUGCGGCAGAUUCUGUACCUGUACCUGCAAGAGCUCAAUUUUGUAUCUAUACAUCUAUUACCGCC